AAGCUGGAGUAGAUCAAGGACGAUGUUGACUGAAUCUCUUCAGAGAUACUCAGCGACAUUGCUUUAGAACCUGCAAGUAGGGUCUAUUGCCAUAUUGGCUCAUUGGAUGCUCUCUAGAUGGAUCAAGUACACAAAUAAUAUGGUACAUUAAAAGUGGUGUCUUGUGUCAGGUAGAUCUGUUGGGCAUCACAAUGAGAUUGUUAGUGCAGUUUCCUGUAGCAAUCAGUUUGCUGUUUUGGUUUGUCAGGCUAGAUGGACUCAAAUUGGAUGAGGAGUGAUAUAUGAAUGAAGCGGAUUACAUUUUGCAAGAUCUGAAGGACUAGCUUCUGGUCAUUUUUUGUUGGAAUGCUGGAAGAUAUACUGUGAACAGAGCAGCUUCAGAUCGUGAGAGAAGAAAUAUACUCCUACUUGAAGAUUAUUAAAGGAUAAUGGCAAGUGAAGGUUUUGCUUCUUCAGCAUGAGAAUGUCUGAUGCCUUCAGCACCUGUUAGGUGAAUUGGAUAAAAGAACAGUAUUGUGAUUUGGGACACAGAAUCCAACUGGAGGAUUUCCUGCAUAUUUCAACGAUUUGAAAAUUGAUCCAUCUGUAUAAUCUGCCUAAUGUGAGCAAUCAUCUUAUGGUGGCAUCAUACCAUAGUUGAGAGGAAUUUGAAGGAUGAUAUCUACAAUUCAUUCAAUUUUAGAGAGGAGCUGAAAUUACUACGGGAGGUGGCAUUGCUUAUUGGAAGGGUUUACUAAGACGUUUGGACCAGUGCUAUAUACUUGACAAAAUAUGGUUUCCAAAUACACUGAUUUGGGACAAUUUUGGCGGGAGCAGAAAUAUACACGCAAGGUGCUCUGCUUGUUUUGUUUUGAGGAUGACGAAAUCCCUGAUGACCUCUAUGGUACUAUAGUCCAACUGGGCAUCUGUAGUCAUCAUUGUUGCAGCCAAAAGUUUUCCUCGAUGAUAUCUGUUCCUAUGAAGAACUCCCAGCAUUGAUGAAGGGUUUUUUACCCAAAGAAUGGGGUUCUAGGAUUGUGUACUUGUACCAGAUUUUUAGAUGUGAGCUAAGAGCAACUAACGGGGUUCUUCUAGCAACCAAGAUAUUCAACAGCUGAUCACCUAGCACAUUUGUGCGAAACUAUUUAUUUAUCAUUUUUGCCGUUUUGUUUCCUGCGUGAGAAUAGCUAAACAGUUUGGUUAGAAUUUCUGUAUUUAAAUGUUGAAGUUUUGAUAGAGAAUAGGCUUUGUAGUCUUGCUUUAGGCCGAAUGUUGGUGAGUAUUGGUAGAGUUUAUUGAGUAGUGAAUAAACGCAGACAUGCUCUCUUUUCUCUGAAUUUUUGUAUUUAAACAAUGGUCAAAAAGUGGAAAGAAUGCUAGGUGUUUGUUUUUCA